UACGUAGGGUGCGAGCGUUGUCCGGAAUUACUGGGCGUAAAGAGUUCGUAGGCGGUUUGUCGCGUCGUUCGUGAAAACUUGGGGCUUAACUCCAAGCGUGCGGGCGAUGCGGGCAGACUUGAGUACUACAGGGGAGACUGGAAUUCCUGGUGUAGCGGUGAAAUGCGCAGAUAUCAGGAGGAACACCGGUGGCGAAGGCGGGUCUCUGGGUAGUAACUGACGCUGAGGAACGAAAGCGUGGGUAGCGAACAGG
rnacentral:rRNA from 1 species